rnacentral:rRNA from 1 species
UUCCUUGGAAAAGGACAGCUGAGAGAGUGAAACUCCCGUCCGCCUGGUAGAAUGAGUCUUUGUCAACGAGUCGAGUUGUUUGGGAUUGCAGCUCUAAUUUGGUGGUAAAUUCCAUCUAAAGCUAAAUAUUGGUGGGAGACCGAUAGCGUACAAGUACCGUGAGGGAAAGAUGCAAAGAACUUUGAAAAGAGAGUUAAAGAGUACCUGAAAUUGCUGAAACGGAAGCGAAGGAAACCGGUGUUUGUUGGUUCAUAUUUCCCUGGCCACUUGUGGUUUGGGCG